AUACGGAGGUGGCAAGCGUUACCCGGAAUUACUGGGCGUAAAGGGCGCGUAGGCGGCUUGGUAAGUCUCUUGUGAAAGCUCCCGGCUUAACUGGGAGAGGUCAAGGGAUACUACCAGGCUUGAGGGCAGUAGAGGAAGGCGGAAUUCCCGGUGUAGCGGGGAAAUGCGUAGAUAUCGGGAGGAACACCAGUGGCGAAAGCGGCCUUCUGGGCUGUGCCUGACGCUGAGGCGCGAGAGCGUGGGGAGCAAACAGGAUUAGAUACCCCGGUAGUCC
rnacentral:rRNA from 1 species